rnacentral:rRNA from 1 species
GACGUAGGGCGCGAGCGUUGUCCGGAAUUAUUGGGCGUAAAGAGCUCGUAGGCGGUUUGUCGCGUCUGCUGUGAAAACUGGAGGCUCAACCUCCAGCCUGCAGUGGGUACGGGCAGACUAGAGUGCGGUAGGGGAGAUUGGAAUUCCUGGUGUAGCGGUGGAAUGCGCAGAUAUCAGGAGGAACACCGAUGGCGAAGGCAGAUCUCUGGGCCGUAACUGACGCUGAGGAGCGAAAGCGUGGGGAGCGAACAGG